rnacentral:rRNA from 1 species
AGUGAACGCUGGCGGUAGGCCUAACACAUGCAAGUCGAACGGCAGCACAGUAAGAGCUUGCUCUUACGGGUGGCGAGUGGCGGACGGGUGAGGAAUACAUCGGAAUCUACUUUUUCGUGGGGGAUAACGUAGGGAAACUUACGCUAAUACCGCAUACGACCUACGGGUGAAAGCAGGGGAUCUUCGGACCUUGCGCGAUUGAAUGAGCCGAUGUCGGAUUAGCUAGUUGGCGGGGUAAAGGCCCACCAAGGCGACGAUCCGUAGCUGGUCUGAGAGGAUGAUCAGCCACACUGGAACUGAGACACGGUCCAGACUCCUACGGGAGGCAGCAGUGGGGAAUAUUGGACAAAGGGCGCAAGCCUGAUCCAGCCAUACCGCGUGGGUGAAGAAGGCCUUCGGGUUGUAAAGCCCAUUUGUUGGGAAAGAAAAGCAGCAGGUUAAUACCCCGCUGUUCUGACGGUACCCAAAGAAUAAGCACCGGCUAACUUCGUG